AGGACGAACGCUGGCGGCGUGCUUAACACAUGCAAGUCGAGCGGUAAGGCCUUUCGGGGUACACGAGCGGCGAACGGGUGAGUAACACGUGGGUGAUCUGCCCUGCACUUCGGGAUAAGCCUGGGAAACUGGUCUAAUACCGGAUAUGACCUCCUAUCGCAGUGGGUGGGG
rnacentral:rRNA from 1 species